rnacentral:rRNA from 1 species
UGAUAGGCGGCAGGUGUAAGGCGCGCGAGCGCUUCAGCCGAGCCGUACUAAUUGCCCGUGAGGCUUGAUCU